rnacentral:rRNA from 1 species
UACGGAGGUCUCAAGCGUUGUUCGGAUUCAUUGGGCGUAAAGGGUGCGUAGGCGGCGCGGUAAGUCGGGUGUGAAAUCUCGGAGCUUAACUCCGAAACUGCAUUCGAUACUGCCGUGCUUGAGGACUGGAGAGGAGACUGGAAUUUACGGUGUAGCGGUGAAAUGCGUAGAUAUCGUAAGGAGGACCAGUGGCGAAGGCGGGUCUCUGGACAGUUCCUGACGCUGAGGCACGAAGGUCAGGGGAGCAAACGGG